rnacentral:rRNA from 1 species
AGGACGAACGCUGGCGGCGUGCCUAACACAUGCAAGUCGAGCGAUGAAGCUUCCUUCGGGAAGUGGAUUAGCGGCGGACGGGUGAGUAACACGUGGGUAACCUGCCUCAAAGAGUGGGAUAGCCUUCCGAAAGGGAGAUUAAUACCGCAUAACAUUAUGUUGUGGCAUCACAGGAUAAUCAAAGGAGCAAUCCGCUUUGAGAUGGACCCGCGGCGCAUUAGCUAGUUGGUAAGGUAAUGGCUUACCAAGGCGACGAUGCGUAGCCGACCUGAGAGGGUGAUCGGCCACAUUGGAACUGAGACACGGUCCAGACUCCUACGGGAGGCAGCAGUGGGGAAUAUUGCGCAAUGGGGGAAACCCUGACGCAGCAACGCCGCGUGAGUGAUGAAGGUUUCGGAUCGUAAACUCUGUCUUUGGGACGAUAAUGACGGUACCCAAGGAGGAAGCCACGGCUAACUACGUGCCAGCAGCCGCGGU